AUUCGUCCUCAUCGUUAUUUCAUAACAGUCCAUCCUACGGUUGCUGAGACGAAUCUGUCUGGACCAAAGUGGUGGAUUGGUCAACAUUCGCCGUCGCAACUGAUGAUGAUCACAUCUUUCCUCCUGUGGCAGCUUUGAUUGACCCAGAACAUCGCAAACCCGUCCUCGGAUUUUCAGAGCAAUUUUUGCCCAGAUGAAAAACGUCGCCUGCUGAAAUGAGAUCACCGUGUCCCGUCGCGCUGAUCUACCGUCUGGCCGGAACACUUUGAGCCUCAAUUACAGAAAGGGAACAGAGUGAAACAGCCUGUUCAGGGCUGUCGGGGAAAAUUGAUGGAGGUAAUAUUUCUCAAUGCAGCUUUUAAUACUUUUCUCUCCUGCGGUUGACUGCAGCUCUGCUAGAAACUGAUGUUAGAAACAAAACAGAGAGAGCAAACAGGUGACUACAUAUAAAACUGGAUUUUAUUGGCUCAUUUAAAAGACUGUACAUCACAGUGCAUGAAGCAUACGAAGGGUUGCGGAAGCUGUCGGUGAAUCAAACUGACGUCAUGAAUUCUGCAGAGGAAGCACAAGCGUUUCACAGCCUCCUGCAGACGGCAGCCUUGUUCCACAAUGAGGCCUCGGGUAGUUAUAGACCUUAUUUCUCAUUUCAUUGGAAGCAAUUUGAAGUCCACAAAUAAUUAUAUACAUACAAAACAAUUAGCCGUUACCUUGAACUGCAAAAACACGUGGGAUGAACCCGCUCUGAUCGAGUCAUUUAGAAGCUUCCUGCCGCCGGAGGACGUAAUAAGAGGAAGAGCAGCAGAGGCCACAAGAGGAACCACAGUCGCCGCUGUUAAUCCAAUAAGACCGUAUUGCAACGCUGCACCGUCUUCUUCCUGUGAAACCACGUCCAAGGCCGCAGGACAGAUCCCUAAUGGUGAUCCCGUCUCAAAGCUGUCAGGCAGUGAAGCUUGCGAAGACUCGAUAUUCGCCAUUUUGCCACACGAGCCCGCGUCUCUCUGGCGGUGUGAUGACCGUGACGAGUGCGGCGCUGUGACCCGACGACCCGUCAGAUCUCUGACAGAGUCACGCGCAGGGAGCCGGCCG